GGAAAGGAGUGUGGGCCUGAACACGUGAGUAUCUGAAGAAAUGGCGUGGAGAAAACACGAGGGAGGUCUGGCUCAGCAGCAACUGAGUGCUGGGCUGUUGGACCCUCCUGUGCCAGUGGGACAAAGGACAUUGUCGGAGAUGGAGUGUGAUGGGAAGGACUUGAACACCUGCUGAAGCCUUGGAGGUUCCUGACUGCACUAUGACUAAGCAGCCUGGGUGCAGAAAGAGUUCAGCAUUCAUACAAAACUAUACUGGGGAUUAAAUCUUGAGCAGC